rnacentral:rRNA from 1 species
UGCAAGUCGAGGGGNAGAHGGUGCUUGCAASGGAGACCGGCGCACGGGUGCUAACGCGUAUGCRACCUACCUUCAACAGGGGGAAGCCCAGAGMMMUUUGGAUUAAUACCCCAUGGUAUAAUUGGAUGGCAUCAUUUGAUUAUUAAAGUCACAACGGUUGAAGAUGGGCAUGCGUCCCAUUAGUUAGUUGGUAAGGNAAUGGCUUACCAAGACUAUGAUGGGUAGGGGUCCUGAGAGGGAGAUCCCCCACACUGGUACUGAGACACGGACCAGACUCCUACGGGAGGCAGCAGUGAGGAAUAUUGGUCAAUGGGCGCACGGAACCAGCCAUGCCGCGUGCAGGAUGAAGCAUCUAUGGUGUGUAAACUGCUUUUGCACGGGAAGAAACCUUCGCUCGUGAGCAAAUUGACGGUACCGUAAGAAUAAGGAUCGGCBAACUCCGUGCCAGCAGCCGCGGUAAUACGGAGGAUCCAGCGUUAUCCGGAAUCAUUGGGUUUAAAGGGUCCGUAGCGGCCCGGUAAGUCAGUGGUGAAAUCUCCCCGCUCAACGGGAAACUGCCAUUGAUACUGCCGGGCUUGAGUUACUAGGAAGUAACUAGAAUAUGUAGUGUAGCGGUGAAAUGCUUAGAGAUUACAUGGAAUCCCAAUUGCGAGGCAGGUUACUACUAGUGGAUUGACGCUGAUGGACGAAAGCGUGGGUAGCGAACAGGAUUAGAUACCCUGGUAGUCCACGCCGUAAACGAUGGAUACUAGCUGUUGGAGCAUUCAGUGGCU